rnacentral:rRNA from 1 species
UGAGGAAUAUUGGUCAAUGGGGGCAACCCUGAACCUGCCAAGUCGCGUGAAGGAUGAAGGUCUUAUGGAUUGUAAACUUCUUUUACACGGGAAUAAAGUGGGGGACGUGUCCCCCUUUGCAUGUACCGUGUGAAUAAGGAUCGGCUAACUCCGUGCCAGCAGCCGCGGUAAUACGGAGGAUCCGAGCGUUAUCCGGAUUUAUUGGGUUUAAAGGGUGCGCAGGCGGGAUGUUAAGUCGGCGGUGAAAUUUUGCAGCUCAACUGUAAAAGUGCCUUCGAUACUGGCCUCCUUGGAUGUGGAUGAAGUAGGCGGAAUUUGUGGUGUAGCGGUGAAAUGCUUAGAUAUCACGAGGAACUCCGAUUGCGCAGGCAGCUUACUAAGCCACAACUGACGCUCAUGCACGAAGGCGUGGGGAUCAAACA